rnacentral:rRNA from 1 species
AUGGCGGGCGCACCGGCUCUCACCCUCCUCCUGCUGCUCCUCCUCCCGGCACACCAGGCGGGCUACGCGGGCGCGGAGGCCGACACCUGUGGGCCGGCGCUCGGAGGCGCGGCAGGCCGGCGCCAUGGCCCGGGGCUGGAGGAGUACGGCGGCGGGCGCAUCGUGGACAUCACGCACGCGUACCGGCCGGGCAUGCCGCCCGACGCGACGACGGGGCCCCUGGUGCGGCUCAAGGAGUCGAUGGAGAACGGGUCGGACUACAACUUGUCGGAGCUCCGGAUGCACUGCCACAUGGGCACCCACGUCGACGCGCCGGGCCACAUGAACCAGGCCCACUUCGCCGCCGGCCUCGACGUCGACACGCUCGACCUCCAAGUCCUCAACGGUCCUGCCUUACUGGUCGAUGUUCCAAGACACACAAAUAUAACAGCUGAAGCAAUGGAAUCCCUAAAUAUACCAAAAGGUGUUCGUCGAGUUCUCUUCAGGACAUUGAACACAGACAGGGGGCUCAUGUGGAAGCAAAGAGGUGAUAUGAGUUUUGUUGGAUUUACGGAGGAUGGUGCACAGUGGUUAGUUGACAACACCGACAUCAAGCUUGUUGGGAUUGACUAUAUAUCAGUUGCUUCAUUUGGUCACUUGAUCACUGCCCAUGUGGCCUUCUUAAAAAAUGCGGAUAUCAUCCCAGUCGAAGCCCUGAAACUAGACAACGUGAAGACUGGACUAUACAUGCUGCACUGCUUACCUCUAAGACUGGUUGGCUCCGAGGGUUCACCAAUCAGGUGCAUUCUUAUCAAGUGA